UACGGGGGGGGCAAGCGUUGUUCGGAAUUACUGGGCGUAAAGGCUCGUAGGUGGCCAACUAAGUCAGACGUGAAAUCCCUCGGCUUAACCGGGGAACUGCGUCUGAUACUGGAUGGCUUGAGUUUGGGAGAGGGACGCGGAAUUCCAGGUGUAGCGGUGAAAUGCGUAGAUAUCUGGAGGAACACCGGUGGCGAAGGCGGCGUCCUGGACCAACACUGACACUGAUGAGCGAAAGCCAGGGGAGCAAACGGG
rnacentral:rRNA from 1 species